rnacentral:rRNA from 13 species
CCCCAUCCGACCCGUCUUGAAACACGGACCAAGGAGUCUAACAUAUGUGCGAGUACAGGGGUGGCAAACCCCCGUGCGCAAUGAAAGUGACAGUGGUUGGACCUUUUGGGCACAAUCCGCCGGCCUCAAUCCUUCGGGAGAACGGUCUGAGUGUGAGCAUACAUGUUGGGACCCGAAAGAUGGUGAACUAUGCCUGAGCGGGGCGAAGCCAGAGGAAACUCUGGUGGAGGCUCGAAGCGAUACUGACGUGCAAAUCGUUCGUCUGACUUGGGUAUAGGGGCGAAAGACUAAUCGAACCUUCUAGUAGCUGGUUUCCGCCGAAGUUUCCCUCAG